UACGUAGGGUGCAAGCGUUAUCCGGAAUCAUUGGGCGUAAAGCGUUCGUAGGUGGUUAAUUAAGUUUGUGGUUAAAUCUGGUCGCUCAACGAUCAGUUUGUCACGAAAACUGCUUGACUAGAGAAUGGCAGAGGCAACUGGAAUUCCACAUGUAGGGGUAAAAUCCGUUGAUAUGUGGAGGAACACCAAAAGCGAAGGCGGGUUGCUGGGCCAUUUCUGACGCUGAGGAACGAAAGCGUGGGGAGCAAACAGG
rnacentral:rRNA from 1 species